rnacentral:lncRNA from 1 species
CUCCCUCACAAGAAGCUCUCUCUUACAAAAGUUCUCUCUAGAAAGAUUCCUUUGAACCCCUGAAGCAACUGCUGUCUGCUUCCUGACAGUCUGCCUGAAGCAUCCUGCUCCUGCUCUCUAUCAGUGUCUCUCGAUCUGCUACUACUUUGGAUCCUCUAUCGAACAACCAAAGCCAUCAGUCUACUCUCUGUUUCACCAUAGGAUCUUUUAAAGACCUGAAACUCAGUUGAGAUAGAAGUCGAACUUUAAAUUGGACUCUUGUUGCUUCUCGACCAUUCGAUCGCAUCUCAUAUUUGAAACUGAUCAUUGGAUCGCACCCCAUCAUGACCUCUGAUCACUUGGAAUGGCUUACAGCCAUUGGAUCUUGACCGCAAGCCCUGCAAACCAUCAGAUCGCGCACUGAUCCAUGAGAACCCGUCGUGGACCGUGAAAGACCAGUCUAAAAUGCCCACCGAUCCAUCGUGGACUGUGCGAAACUCAGGAAAAAUGCCUGUCCAAUCCAUGUGGGUCACCAUGAACUGUCGGUCCAUGCACUGCACGUGGACCGUGUGAGAAAAUCAUGCAGGCCAUGCUACGCACGCCCGCUUGGAUCUGGGCCACACCCCACGUGCUCCCGCGCUUGCGAUCAGGCCACACGCUGCCGCAGCCUCCGUCGGUUCACUGCCAGCCUUCGCCACCUCAUGGGCCUUGCCACCUCCUUCGGACUUCUUCCACACGUAAUUUCUCCAUCUGGACUCCAUUUGGACUGAUCUUAGGCUUGUUGGACUUAGUUCAUUGUCGUGGACCUCGCUGUGAGUUAGUGUGAACCGAAUUUCGAGAUAUCAAAUCCUAACAAUCUUUAUUUCGAUUCAACAUUUGGCUUUCUCCUAACUCUGAGAGCUUCGGAUCUCCUCGCCCCCA